rnacentral:lncRNA from 1 species
CGAAGAUCUUUGCACAGCCUUCACGGAGGUGUGGAAACACGAUUCUCCUGUCCUGUUGCUGGCUCUGCAGUAAUUAAAGCUUCAGUCUCUACUGCCCUCCUGUUAGUCUCUUGGUUUUAAUGAUACCGCUAACACAGAUACUUCUGAACAACUUUUCUGGCACACUCUUCCUUUCUGAAACGUGUGAUUCUCCCUCUGUGGUUUGGUGCACGGGAACUCGACAUAACUCAGGGUGGGAACUUGGCUACAAGGUUUAAGGUCAGAAGAACAAUCACAAAUUAAAGGUACAGAUGGGGUUUUUGUGUUGAUAUACAAGAAAGAA